rnacentral:lncRNA from 1 species
UUACCAGUAAUCUUACUGCAAGUCCUGGGUCACUGAAGAACUCGGUAAAUAUGAUUAGCAUGCACGCACCAACACAUCACUGUGAUGAAAACGCAAAUCACAGUAUGUGAGUCACUACUCUCAACAUUGCCAUGCCCCUGCCUUAAACCUGCCAGCCCCAUCCAGAGGAUUUUUCUCAUCUCUGAACUCCAAUCAUUUACACCUUCCCCCAUCAGAAUUUACCCUACAUUUUAUUAUAAUUGCAUAUAAAUAUGCCUUCCCUGUAACAGCAGGGACUGUGUUUCUCCACUGUAUGGCCUGGCACAGUGUCCAGCACACAGCAGGCAAAGCAAGAGUUACUGCAUGAGCCAGUGUCAUCAUCCAAACGAUAGCUACCAUUUCCAGAGCACCUACCGUGAGCUGACUAGUUUACCUACAUUAUCCUCCUCUAGGCACAUAACCCUAUUUUAGUUCUCUGAAUACGACUGAUUGCUGUCUAACAUAUUUUGGUUUGUGUGCUUAUUGUCUGUCACCGGUUUCCCUUCACAAGAAGGAAAGCUCCAAGAGGACAGGCAUCUUAUCUACCUUGUACUUGGCUCAUAGCAA